rnacentral:lncRNA from 13 species
UUUGCCUUCACCCAGACUUAGCUUUUCCUGUCUCAUUUCCUCAGAACCCCGCUUCCUGCUGCACAGCAGCUGGCCAUUUUGACGAAGACUUCGUCCUGUGAUGCUAAUACCUGGAUCACCUAAGCCAGGAGGGAGUCAUAAACAUCCAUCUCCAAGGGAAGAUCCAUCAGCUCCUAUCAAGCACAAAGGAAAGAUUUACAGGUAAUGUUUUCCUCCCAUACAGAAGUAUGAUUAAGCA